UACGAAGGGGGCUAGCGUUGCUCGGAAUCACUGGGCGUAAAGCGCACGUAGGCGGACUCUUAAGUCGGUGGUGAAAUCCUGGAGCUCAACUUCAGAACUGCCUUCGAUACUGAGAGUCUCGAGUCCGGGAGAGGUGAGUGGAACUGCGAGUGUAGAGGUGAAAUGCGCAGAUAUCGGGAGGAACACCAGUAGCGAAGGCGGCUCGCUGGGCCACACCUGACGCUGAGACGCGAAAGCUAGGGGAGCGAACAGG
rnacentral:rRNA from 1 species